CUACGGGCUGCACCAGUGAGGAAUAUUGCACAAUGGGGGGAACCCUGAUGCAGCAACGCCGCGUGGAGGAUGACGCAUUUCGGUGUGUAAACUCCUUUUAUAUGUCAAGAAAAUGACGGUAGCAUAUGAAUAAGCACCGGCUAACUCCGUGGCCAGCAGCCGCGGUAAUAGGAGGGUGCAAGCGUUACUCGGAAUCACUGGGCGUAAAGGACGCGUAGGCGGGUUGGAAAGUCAGGUGUGAAAUCCUACAGCUUAACUGUAGAACUGCACUUGAAACUUCUAAUCUAGAGUAUGGGAGGGGGAGAUGGAAUUAGUGGUGUAGGGGUAAAAUCCGUAGAUAUCACUAGGAAUACCUAAAGCGAAGGCGAUCUCCUGGAACAUUACUGACGCUAAGGCGUGAAAGCGUGGGGAGCAAACAGGAUUAGAUACCCCGGUAGUC
rnacentral:rRNA from 1 species